rnacentral:rRNA from 1 species
GAUAAGGUUAAGUGAAUAAGGGCGCACGGUGGAUGCCUUGGUACUAGGAGCCGAUGAAGGACGGGACUAACACCGAUAUGCUUUGGGGAGCUGUACGUAAGCUAUGAUCCAGAGAUUUCCGAAUGGGGGAACCCAACAUCUUUAAUAGGAUGUUAC